AUGAUAUUUGUCUCUUGCUGUCCUAUCAAUUCCUUGAGGGCAAAAGAAGGUCAUUUUUUCUUUUUUGUGUUUAUAUUUUUAUUCCAAUCCCAAAGAAAAUCAAUGCCAAAGAAUACUCAAAUUACCACACAAUUGCACUCAUUUCACACGCUAGUAAUGCUCAAAAUUCUCCAAGCCAGGCUUCAGCAAUACGUAAACCGUGAACUUUCAGAUGUUCAAGCUGGUUUUAGAAAAGGCAGAGGAACCAGAGAUCAGAUUGCCAACAUCUGCUGGAUCAUGGAAAAAGCAAGAGAGUUCCAGAAAAACAUCUAUUUCUGCUUUAUUGACUAUGCGAAAGCCUUUGACUGUGUGGAUCACAAUAAACUGUGGAAAAUUCUGAAAGAGAUGGGAAUACGAGACCCCCUGAUCUGCCUCUUGAGAAACCUAUAUGCAGGUGAGGAAGCAACAGUUAGAACUGGACAUGGAACAACAGACUGGUUCCAAAUAGGAAAAGGAGUACGUCAAGGCUGUAUACUGUCACCCUGCUUUUUUAACUCAUGUGCAGAGUACAUCAUGAGAAACGCUGGGCUGGAAGAAGCACAAGCUGGAGUCAAGAUUGCUGAGAGAAAUAUCAAUAACCUCAAAUAUGCAGAUGACACAACCCUUAUGGCAGAAAGUGAAGAGGAACUAAAAAGCCUCUUGAUGAAAGUGAAAGAGGAGAGCAAAAAAGUUGGCUUAAAGCUCAACAUUCAGAAAACGAAGAUCUUGGCAUCUGGUCCCAUCACUUCUUGGGAAAGAGAUGGGCAAACAGUGUUAGACCUUAUUUUUUUGGGCUCCAAAAUCACUGCAGAUGGUGAUUGCAGCCAUGAAAUUAAAAGACGCUUACUCCUUGCAAGGAAAGAUAUGACCAACCUAGAUAGCAUACUAAAAAGCAGAGACAUUACUUUGCCAACAAAGGUCUGUCUAGUCAAGGUCAUGGUUUUUCCAGUGGUUAUGUAUGGAUGUGAGAAUUGGACUGUGAAGAAAGCUGAGUGCCAAAGAAUUGAUGCUUUUGAACUGUGGUGUUGGAGAAGACUCUUGAGAGUCCCUUGGACUGCAAGGAGAUUCAACCAGUCCAUUCUGAAGGAGAUCAGUCCUGGGUGUUCAUUGGAAGGACUGAUGCUGAAGCUGAAACUCCAAUACUUUGGCCACCUCAUGCAAAGAAUUGACUCAUUAGAAAAGACUCUGAUGCUGGGAGGGAUUAGGGGCAGGAGGAGAAGGGGACAACAGAGGAUGAGAUGGUUGGAUGGCUUCACGGACUCAAUGGACAUGAGUUUGAGCGAACUUCGGGAGGUGACGAUGGACAGGGAGGCCUGGCAUGCUGCGAUUCAUGGGGUUGCAAAGAGUCAAAUACGACUGAGCUACUGA
rnacentral:lncRNA from 1 species